rnacentral:rRNA from 2 species
GUCUGGUGGGUAGUUUGACUGGGGCGGUCUCCUCCUAAAGAGUAACGGAGGAGCACGAAGGUUGGCUAAUCCUGGUCGGACAUCAGGAGGUUAGUGCAAUGGCAUAAGCCAGCUUGACUGCGAGCGUGACGGCGCGAGCAGGUGCGAAAGCAGGUCAUAGUGAUCCGGUGGUUCUGAAUGGAAGGGCCAUCGCUCAACGGAUAAAAGGUACUCCGGGGAUAACAGGCUGAUACCGCCCAAGAGUUCAUAUCGACGGCGGUGUUUGGCACCUCGAUGUCGGCUCAUCACAUCCUGGGGCUGAAGUAGGUCCCAAGGGUAUGGCUGUUCGCCAUUUAAAGUGGUACGCGAGCUGGGUUUAGAACGUCGUGAGACAGUUCGGUCCCUAUCUGCCGUGGGCGCUGGAGAACUGAGGGGGGCUGCUCCUAGUACGAGAGGACCGGAGUGGACGCAUCACUGGUGUUCGGGUUGUCAUGCCAAUGGCACUGCCCGGUAGCUAAAUGCGGAAGAGAUAAGUGCUGAAAGCAUCUAAGCACGAAACUUGCCCCGAGAUGAGUUCUCCCUGAGACUUAGAGUCUCCUGAAGGAACGUUGAAGACGACGACGUUGAUAGGCCGGGUGUGUAAGCGCAGCGAUGCGUUGAGCUAACCGGUACUAAUGAACCGUGAGGCUUAACCUUACAACGCCGAAG